GGGCUCGUGGUCUAGUGGUUAUGACGUCGCUUUCACAAGGCGAAGAUCGCAGGUUCGAAUAUUUUUAAUCAUUUUAGAAAAUCCUGCCGAGCCCA
rnacentral:tRNA from 1 species